CCUUCGUUUCUGCAAUGGAGAAUUUCAUUCCUCUGAUUUUUGAUUUGUUGACACUUUUAGCAGAUACAUACAAAAUCUACCUCAAAAAUGGGAGACUCAUGGGUUUCAUAGCAGCACUCGUCAUCUCCCUUCACACCGUGCUCUACCUGCUCAAUGUCUUCUCGGUUAAAUCAUUGAUCACCGAUUUGAUAGCCAAGCAAAGCCACCUUAUUCCUACAACUCCAGGUACUCCUGAAUUUACCAACCUUUUAAUUGGUACGCAGAAAGACAUCAAAAUCUAUGCUGGAGUUGAAUGGAUUUUCUUGCUUAUCAUCGCCGUUGCGUCCUUAUUCUUGGCAAUAUCAACGACCCAUGCAUCAGCUUUAAUCCAUGGUGGCAAAAAGAUAUCCAUCAAGGAUUUGGUAUUGAGGGCAGUCAGAUCAUUGAAAAGGCCUUUUGUUACUUGUUUCUACAUCACUCUCUUUGGUCUUGGUUACAUCUUUCUUUGCUUGGUCACUCUGCUUCCACUUGUUCUAAUUCUUGGAAGUGAAGUCACCUCAUCAGUUUUUGCUAUCCCGCUCUUCAUUUCAGCUAUGGUUUUCUACUCUUAUUUAUCCGUUGUUUGGAAUCUGUCCCUUGUUAUUUCCGUACUUGAAGAAACAUUCGGGAUCGAAGCACUUGGGAAGGCUGCACAGAUUGUCAAAGGCAUGAAGUUACAAGGGUUUAUAUUGAAUCUUCUGUUAACCAUAUUACCUCUACUACUGUCGCAGUGUUUAAGACUGAUCACGUUAAAGCAAUCGGAAGCAAUCCGAGUUGUUAUCACGUUGCUACUAUUGAAUUCAAUCUGGCUGGCGAGGAUGUUUGGCCAUACAGCAUACACUGUUUUGUAUUACCAAUGCAAGAAGACUCAUGGAGAAGAGGUUGAAUUGCAAGCAGAUAUGGAAUACACCAAAAUACCCACUGCCCCACUUAUUAAUGAAAACAUUCUAUGAUGAAUCAGAAAAGCGUUCAUGUAUACUAAUGAAAAGUCAUGUAACGCUGAUGCUUUUUACUGUCCUGUUUGCUAAUAUUGUAGUGUAAGUUCAUCUGUAAUUUUUCAUAAUGUCAAGAAGCUUAUGGAACCUGUUAAAUUGCACUGGAAAUCUGAAAUGACAAAUAAGGUUUGGCAUUCGGAGUGCUGUAGAUGCCAACUUUUCGGCAUAUUGUUUUAUGCAUGAAUGGCAAAUUGAAAAAGGAUUCAGAUAUAAUUGCGAAAGGGAUUUAGACAAAUCCACUGUAUUUCAUGGCAUGGACAAUGGAAAUAGGAAGAAGUUAUUUUCUUUUUUGGUGUGUUAGUUCAGCAAUAAAUAUAUCUUUAAAAAUGAAAAUAAAAUAGUACAUGAAUAACUAUUAUAUAGUUUGAUUCAUAAAAUAAAAUUGCUAUUAUAAUAUAUUUCAUAGUCAUCGCAUUUCGUCACUCUCUGGCGGUAGAAGAAAUUUAAAGAGAGAUGGAAGGAGGCAAAUGAGAAGGGAAAGAAAAAAAAAAUAAGAAAAUUGAAUAAAUUUUAUCUUAUGUGAUAAUAAUUUUUAAAAUUAGUUAGAAGGUAUUUUUAUUUAAUAAUUUUUUGAGCUUAUUCCUAUACACCCGGAAUAGUCAUUACCAAGAAAGCGAGGGCAAAGUCAAGAAAUUGCGCUCCCAAUACCAAAUAGCAUUGCAUGUUUACUAUUUUUGUAAGGGUCCAUACGCCUCUUUAGUCAAAGCCAAAUUUCAGACGUAUGAGCUGAAAUGUUUAGGUAACUGACGUUAUAUAAUAAAUGGUAAUAUAUAUAUAGAAACAUAGAAUCAGUCGCAUAGUUAAAAUUGAUCCAAACCCGAAAAAUCCAAUCAAUUCAUCCAAACUUGAAUAGUCUCAACUCGAUUUGGCCAAAAAAAUUAACCACCAGAACCUAAUCAAUUCGAAGUCGAAAAUAGUUCGAAUUAAACUGAGUAUAAUUUUAUUUUUAAGAAAUAUUACAAAACAAAUUAUAUAUUAGUCUAAUGCUAUUCAAGAAUUUUUUUUUUCUCAAAAGUUCUAUUCAACAACUUUAAAUUAUUUUCUAAAAUCUUUUUUCAUUACUUUUUAUUUUUACACAAUUUUGGAUAUUGUUCUUAAUUAUAAAUAGAAAACCAAAUUCUUUAUGUUAUUAUUAUUAAAUUUAAUUUUACAAUAAUACAUCGUAAAUAAAAGGGUUUUUUCAGUCUCGAAGAAUACUAAAAUAGAGAAUUAGAAUGGAUAAUAAUAACUUUAAAAACAAAAGUAAUUUAUAAACUAAAAAAUAAUUGUCAAUAACUCAAUAAAGUUAAUUUUGACACCUAAUUUUAAAUAUUUGACUUUAUGUCACCUUAAAAGCAUAUUAGAUAAUGAUAUCAAAGGACCUGGAACAAUACUGAAUUAGAGAGAGAAUUAAAAAUUAUUUGUAGUCAAAAUUUCAAAUAAUUUAUAUAAAUAAAGGUAUAUAUAUUAUAAUUAAUAAUUUUAUAAAUUAUAAUUUUUGUAACGUUAACACAAAAUAAAAAGUAAAUAUAUUUAUAUUUGAAAUAUAUAUACUAAAACUAUAUAUAUAAUAGCAAUUGUAUUCCUUAUAAAUAAACAUAAUAUAUAGAGUAUAUUUAUUAUUACAAGUUAAUUAAUAAUCAUAGUUUCAUGAAUUUAUUUAAUUAAUAAUAUGGGUUUGUCUUUAAUUACAUGAAAUUAGAAAAAUAUAUAAUCGAGUUUGGGUAUCCGGUGCCUAAGGAGUGGUACCCAAACCUGAUAUGGGUAGUGAAAUUACUUCAUGAACACUACCCGAACCAUAUUAUAGGGCACCCUAACCUUAUAUAACCUGUUUGGGUACCUGCAAGUAUCUUGUAAUAGGAUAUCCAUUACCAUCCCUAACUAAAUUACCACCAUAAAUGAAAACACACUAAUAGCUGGCACAAGUCUAUUAGGUCGUGGGAAUAAUAUAUUUUGUUUCUUGCAUAUCUUUGUCAUUAGUUCAUGCUUCCGUAUCACAACUACAAUUAGGUUUACUUAGUCUUCACACACGAGACUUAAGCACCACACAGAUCUUGAUUAAAAUUCUAAGCUCGUACAAGCGGUAUCAGAACAAACAUCAACUUUUAGGGAAAGUUGGCAUUCAAUCAAAGCCCUCUCUUUAACGAGCUUUAGGUAUAUUACAAAAAAAAAGAAUGACAUCAAUUGGUAACAAGAUUAAGUCAAACUUGGACCCAUUAAUCUAGAUUUCCAUAGACAUUGCAAAUAGGAAAAUUGUGCACAUGGGUGCAAUAAAGCGUUAUGAGUCUAAAGGCGUCUUGUCCGCACUUGACAGCCGACUACCUCGCAUGGAGAUGACCAUGGACAAAGUGUGGGACAACUUUGAGCAUAUUGAGAUCAGCAUCAAACAAUUGUGGUCCAAAAAUGAUGAGCUUCAACGCGAUGGAUACACUAAUCCAUCAAGAUGUAAGGCUCAAUGAGUUGAUGACAUUGAUGCAGCAUGACAAUUGGCAACUUGAGGAGCACGUCAGGGAUCUUGAAGAGAUCGUGUUGCAUGUGGCCAAAAAAAUCAGCAAGUCACACUAUGCAAUGUCACGACCAAGUAAAGGCAAUUUGGUCAAUCUUCAACGAAGGUGUGCACAUAUGCAAGUCAAGCUUGCUUAUGGAACAAAGGAUCCACCCCGUGUUUCACACAAGCACCAUGCAAAUGUACCAUGGGAAAUUAGACGAUCAGGCUAGGGCUUUAACGAAUAAGACUCAAGUUUGAGUCGAGGCAGAACGAAAAGAGACGAAGUUCACGACUAAGGUAGUAGUAUGACCAGGCAGUCUUACAUAUAUGUGCAGUGGGGUAAGCCACAUGGGGGUUAGGCAAAUCUAAGGCAUAUGAGCUAGAGAUCAAAGUAGGAUGGUGCCGAUAGACUGAGCACCAAAGUCCACCACAAUCAGGAUCCUAAAGGAAAGGUACGUCCUGGAGAUAGUAGUGUAUCCUAAAGUCAACAAAGGAUCCAAAGACGAGAUGCAAGCCUGGGAUUCGCAUUAAUUGACACAACUGGUGUUAGAGGUGUUCAUGAGAAACAAUCUCAAACAAACCUACUAAGCUGAUGCUAGCAACGACAAGCGAGAUGUACAACACACUCGUGCCAUUCCAAGGCCAAAAGGGGCAAUUGAGCUAGUUAGGGACUAGUAAAAGAUUUGUGGCAGUUCCAAGAUGCAGUGGAAACAAGCUACUCAGCAAUAAAGGCAUUGUUGAAAUCAAGUGGGAAAAAAUGUCACAAAUCAAGUAUCAGUGACCAGAUUAGCCUUGACAACUACUGAGCCAGUAAAGAAUAAGGGUUGUCGAGCACACAACAUGCGCAUUAGUGGGUCGUGCAUUAGAAUGUCGUGUGCAAGGGGGCCACGCAAAUGAAAACCGCGUAUAAGAAAACAGUCCAUAUAAGGGUGAUCUAUUGGCUGCUAGGAAGAGUGGCAGUUAAGUGUUUUAUGAAAAUUAGGAGACUUUCCAUAAUUAGGUUUCCUUACUUGUUAUUUACUUUAUUUGCACUGCAAGUAGGUUUAGAUUUAGUCAAUUUUCAUAGUUGUGGUUUGCCAUAUUUCUACUAAGUUUAGUACAUUAUUUAUCAUUAUAAAUAACCCCUUAGGUUUCAUUAUAAGGCACCAAAUUGCCACCAUAAGGGAAAAACACACCAAUAACUGACAUUAGUCUAUUGGGCUGUGAUGAAUAAUACAUUUUAUUUCUCACAUAUCUUCUUCUUUAGCUCACACUUCCGCAUCACAAUUACAGUUAGGCUUACUUAGUCUUCACACAUGAGACUUAAGCACCACACAAAUCUUGAUUAAAGCUUCAAACUCAUAACAUGGGGACUAGAGCAAAUGUCAAAAUUGGAAAACCAAAAGUAGAUAAAGGAAGGGAAAGGAAUCAAUUGUGAAGAAUAUUAAGAGAUUAGAUGAUGUAUGAAUAAAAUAUGGUUUCUGAAAAAUGUUUUACAUUCAUCAAUAAAAAAGUAGUUGCUCUUUUUAUUAAAAAUGUCUACUUAAUGCUCUAAUUGAAAUUAAAAUCUAUCAACAUUUAACACUUCUUACAAUUAUCACAUUUUUUAAAAGGACAAUAAAAUGAAGUGCUAUUGACCUUUAAAUGUGGAAAAACCUCACUUGAAGGUCUUUUCCAUUAUAUUGUAGUAGCACACACAUAUAUACAAUGCACGCACUUACUUAAGCAUCAAUCAUCUUUCAUUUAAACCUUUUGAGUCCUUAUCAAGCAAGCCUAAGGAUUUGGUUCAACAUCAAAACUAUCCAUUUGCAUAUAAGGGGAAAGGCUUUUCUUUUUUCUCCAACUUUAAAUGGAUUUAUAGACACCAUUUUGUGUCUGAUCUUAUUUUUUCUUUUAUUUUUAUUUUUAUUUCUUUAUCUCAUUAUUAAGUUAUUAUUAGGUCCAAUCUUCCUUUGGAUCCAACUUUCUUUUAGGCUUCUUUUAGGUUAAAACUCAAAGAAGCCUUACCUACUUUUAAGUAAGCCUUUCAAGGUUGAUGCCUUUCAAGCUUGAUGUUUUUCAAUCCAUCAAGCCUGAAAGGCCUUUAAGUGUAAUUAAUAAUAAAUAUAUACAUAAAAAUUAAAAAUUAAAAAAAAUGAGAAAAAUGAAAAUUUGUGAUUUGCCACCAUGUUUGGUAUGACAACUGAGGCAAUUACUGAAGAAGCCAACUAAAGCUGGAUUGUCAUGGUAGACAGCUUUUUCUCCCCCCAAAAUCAAGCAACCCCAUUUUUGGGAAAGGGUUUGUAACUUUUACAGUUCACCUGUUUCCUUCUCCCUAAUUUGUGAAACAAACUAAAAAUUUUUGAGAAAGGUCAAAGGCUUGGUAACCUACCAAACUCGGAACAUUGCUAUUAGCAACGUACAGCCAACAAAGUAUUGCUAAUGGCAAUAAAAAGGGAAAAUAGGUUUUUAAAACCCUCUUCCCCAUUUAUAAAAAGAGAAAAGAGCAAAAAAAACCUAGAAAAAGGGUUCUACAAAGAAAAAACCCUAAUCUUACAUUUCUACCAACUAGAAUACACAUAGAAAAAAUAAGAAGAGAAAUAAAAAAAAAGACAAAAAAGGAAGGGAGAGAAGAUCAAUCCUACAUCUAAGCAACCAUACAUACACAUAACAAGAAAAAUUAAAAAAAAAUGGGGGGUGGUUCUUUGGUGAGGGUUUAGAGUAGUAAAGAUUCUUUUUUUUUUUAGGGGAAGAGGGGUUUGGAAACUUUUUAGUUGAUUGAUAAGCAAUCUUGGCAAAAAAGGCGAGGGUGGUGUGCCGUUGGUGGCAAACCGAUAAGAAAAAAGGUGGUUGUGUAAAGGUUUAUAGAAAGAAGGGGAGAGAGCCAUGUGAUUAAGAGAGAGAAUAAAAUGGUUGAAAAUGAGGUUAGGGUAACAACAUUAUGAUUUUAUACUUAGGAUUUCAAGGUUUUAAAACAACUUCAUUUUGAAGGGACCAAAACAAAAAAUGUUAAAAAGAUAAGCUUAAAGUAAAACUACCAAGAAGGGGGUGACUUGGUUGCUAAAUAAAAAUUUUCUCUUUAUGAAAAAUCUUUGAAGAUGAAGUAAAAAUAUGAAAGAAUGAAAUAGCAAAACAAAGUAUAAAAUAAAUGAGUAAAUAAUAAAAACAUAAAAAGUACUAAACAGGAUUUUUAUAAAGAUUUGACUUUCCAAUGCUUAUGUCUUCUCCCUUGAUAAUUCAAGGAGUUUGAAUCUACUAUCAGCUUGUCUUUUCUACAAGAUCAGGCAUAACCUCUACAACAUCCCUUUUGCAGGAUCAAGUGUAACCUCUAUCAAGAGACUGACUUUUUCAAGUUCAAACACAACCUUUACUCAAGAUACAACCUUUUAAAGGAUCAAGCAAAACCCCUAUACCUUUUUCUUGAAGUUAUAAACAAUACAAUAGUAAAUUCUAAUGAAUCACUAACUCAAAACCUCUAUAAAGGUUGAUAAAGAAGUUUAGGAUCAAAAGUGUGAGAGAUUCUCAAAGAUAUGGAUGAUAAAAGAAAGUUUGAGUUCAAGAAGGAUCAGCUGAAGAAUAAAAAUAUGAUCUUUAGUCUCUGUUUUUGCUUAAAGGUAGAAACUUUCUGAUCACAACUUUUUCUUUCUUUUUUUUUUUGUCUUUUUUCUUCUUUGAAGAUGAUUCAAACUCAUUCAAAAUCUCUUGACAUCUUUAUUUUAACAUCCUUAAGGUGGACAUUAAUAGCCUUUGUGAUUUUUUUCCUAUUAAAGUAAAAUUUGGAUAAUUUCUUGUAUGUUCCAAUAAGCUUGCAAAAUUUUGUCGCAUUUAUAGAAUCAAUUCAUUGUUGUUGAGUUGUUGGUUCUUCACAAAGUCUAUAGCUUUCUGUCUCUAAAGAAUUUAUUCUUUUAUUUUGAGGUGUUAGUUCUUCUAGAACUGGGUUUAAAGGUGACACCUUUGCAAUCUUAAAGAAUCAAUUCUUUUGCCUCAAGGUGUCGGUUCUUCAUUGUGGUCUAGCGCCAAAAUUUGAAUUUCAACUUGAUUUUUGCCACUCCACUUUUAUCCAGCUGUACCAUCUCUUUCUUGGUCACUAAGUUUCUGAAUUGUACUUUUGGUGUUUCAAAAACUGAUAUCUUCUCCAUGUAGAAUCGAUUCUUUCUUCUUUGGUUUUCUACCUUUUGUAUUUUGUCUCUUUAGAAUCGAUUCUUUGUUUCCAAAGUGUCGAUUCUUCACAAAUUCUAAACUUUCCAUCUUUCAAAAAUCGACUUCUUAUUUUCUCAAAAUCGAUUCUUCACUGUUGAUCUUUGCUUAAAAACUGACUUUUUCUUUCUAAAAAUCAAUUCUAUCUAUAAUCAAAGAAAUAGAUGUUGCUCUUUUUUUUUAUCAUUUAAGACUCAAGUAUUUUCUUUUGAGAAUUUGAUCCUUUUAAAGGUUGGCAUUUUGAAUUUUGAAAACAAGAGAUCUUUUAGAAAAUUAAAAAAUAUUUCAUUGAGUUCAUGAGCAUGAUCAUUCAUAUUCAAAAUAUGUUUAAAUAAUAAAGCAUUUCAACAUAUCUUUCUUUUAAGUGUAGCUUUAACACUCCUUGAAGGAUUUUCUUCAUAUUCAAAAAUAUCUUUCAUUUAUGUUCAAAACUCUUGAAGUUCAAUCAAUUUUGUCAUAUCAAUACAAAAAUAAAGCUAACAAAAAAAAAAUAAAAGAAAAGCAAAGCAAGUAGCUCGGUUGAAAGUGGGAGGCUUGUGACGCAUGGCCCAAUGAAAAGAAAGAAAUAGCAACCCACUAGAAAAAGGAAAGAAGGAAAGAAAAAAACAAGGAGAAAAAAACUGGGUUAAACGAACCUAACCCACAUAAAGCUCACACGUGGGCUCAUAUGGUCAAGUGUUCUCUAGGCCUUUGUUGAUUCCAAAGUAAGGUAUUUUCUUAGGCCAUUUUUUUCUUUAAUUAGUUUUUUUUUGCAUUUUUUAGUUAUUUUAGCAUAAUUAGUUAAAAAGUAAAUUUAUUUCUUUCCAAAAAAUGUAUACAAUGAAAAUAAUGAUAAUAGCAAUAGGUUAAUACACAAAACAAAUAAAUAUAAAUGUGAAAAGUAGAAAAAAUAUAUAUAGUGUUUGGUCUUGCAUUCACCUUAGAUGAAUAUGUAAAAUAAUAAUAUAUGUAUGAAAAUAAAAAAUUUAAAUAAAUUAAGUAUGGUUAUUUUGAGUUAAGCCAAUGAUGGAAUUUUUAUUUGGAAUGUGAAGAGUUACAAUUCCGAGUUAAUUUUCUUAAGUGAGAAAGUUAGUUAGGGUUUUCACCAAGGCAUUGGGAAAAUCUUAAUUUUAUAUUCCAAAGCUCCAUUAAUUCAAAUAAUCAUUUUAAAAUCUAAUAAGAAUAAAAGGCAUUUAAUUAAAGUAAAAUAUCAAUUAUAUAACUAUAAAGUUAUAAAUCCAAUACUACCUUUAUUAAUAUAUUCAUUUUGCAUCAUGCAUUAUUUUGCAUUGCAUACAAGUCAGUUACUUUGCAAAUGGGUAUAAAACCCCCGAUGAUUGGACUUUUUCGAGAAACAUGUAGAGAUGAGUUUUCUUAGAAAUUCCCUAGGUAAAGAAAAACUUCUAAAUUUUACCAAAGCGUUAAGAUGGUUUAUGAUUGAUUUUUUGAUACAAGGUAUUUUUCCUAUUAUUUAAAAUUGAAAAAUCAUGUUAUCAUUUUGUGGUUGUAUCAUGUGCAUAAAUAAUGUAUAUUUGAUUUGUGAAAGACAACCUCUGUCAAUGGGAUCCUCUUUGGAAGGCUUGUAGAGACAAGCUUUCUUAAAAAAUACUAUAGGAGAAGAGAAAUUCUUAAACUUCACUAAACAAUUAGGAUGGUCUUAAAAAAUUUCUCCGAGAUGAAGAUUUCAUUUAUACAUCGAUAAGUAAUAAUAAUAAAUAAAUAAAAAUAAUUUAAUAAAAAAUAACCAAAAAAUGAAAUCCAAAACUAAAAAUCAUCAUGAAUAAGUAAAACCCGAUGACGUAACCUUUUCGAAGGGAUAAACGUGUCUUUUUAAAUAUUCUUGUGUUGAGAAGGAUUUUGAAAACCCCUAUUUGAGUGUUAGAGGGGUCUAAGGAAAAUCUUCAACCCAAUAAAAUAAAAAAUGAAAUAUAACAACUAAAUAAUAAUUAAGGGAAAUAAUAAUUAAAUUAAAGAUCAAGAUUAAAGGCUCACAUAAGAAUAAUACAUGAUUAAUUGGUGUUGUUCUUUGAACGGGCAUUGUUAGGUGCUAAUAUCUACCCUGUGUGUAACCGUACUUUUGAACCCGAAAACUGUUAUGUAGAUCAGAGCCUAUUUCUUAAAAUGAACUUAGGUUAAGUUUAAGGUAACAUUUUAAAGAAAUAGACUUAACUAGGUGGUUAAUCAUACUUUAUAAAUAAGAUUGGUGACGACUCUCAAAAUUAUCACAUUGAGGUGAACGAAUUCUUGAACUCGCACACACACACACACACACACACACACAUAUAUAACUACUAGACUUUGUUGAGACUCGAUCAAGAUAUUCAGCUGCCAAGCUACCUUCAUAGGAUUGAUGCUAAAAUAGAAAGUAAUUGAUGCCAUACCAAACCUUUAAAAAAAAUGGGUCUCUAAUUUGUCACAUCUUCGUCUGAUGCCAAGAAAAGAAAGAACAAACAAACAAAGAGCCAUUACGCUUGAAUGCAUAAAAAAAAUCAAAAUUGGUCAUUUCAAAGCAUUCAAGUCAAAUAAGAAUAUAAGGAGUAUAAGCCGAAGCUUUUUUUUUUUCUUAACAAGGACUACCACCAAACGCCACUCUACAAGACUAUUUUACCUAUUGAAAUUUUGCUUGAGAAGACUUGACCAGUAAACACAAAAUCGCUCUUGGCCAAGACUUGUCUUUACAAUAAAUUUAAACGGAAUUGACUAAUUCAAUACAUAGAAAUAGUGAUUGUUUAAUUAUUAUAUAAAUGGAUAGUUAUUUUGUGCUCCUUGCUACCUAUAAAAGAUUUAAAGAUCUUGAGAGCAAGUAUCUUAUUAAUUAUUUCCUUCCUUUCUAUAAUGGAAAUUUUAUUCCUUUAGUUUUUGAUUUGUUAACAUUCUUAGCAGAUACAUACAAAAUCUACCUAAAAAAUGGGAGGCUCAUGGCUUUCAUAGCAAUACUAUAAAAUAUUUGAAAUGGAAAAUUUAUUAUCAUUGACGUGAUAGUAUACAAGUUAAUAUAUUGAGAAGUUGUACAAGAUAACAUUGUACUUGAAUUUAAAAUAAGAUGAAAGAACUCUUAUGAUUAAAGAGCUAAAGUAUGACUCAAAGGAUUUAAAUUACCCUUUGUUUGUGGAGUCAUCUCCUUAAUACGCCCCCACAAGAGUGGUGUUCCAUCAAGAACACCUAUCUUGUGCUUGAGAAGAUGAUGACAUUGUUUCGACAGAGGUUUGGUGAGACAAUCUACAAGUUGAUGUGGUGCAGAAACAUGUUGAACUCACAAUGUUCCUUACUGGACAAGAUCACGAAUAAAGUGCACAUCAAUUGCUAUGUGCUUCAUUUGACUAUGCAUGACUAGAUUUAGAGAAAGAUAGGUGGUGUUGAGAUUAUCAUAGUGAAUGGUGGGAAUCUAUUAAACUGGAAUGUAAAGUUUAGAAAGCAAAGACUAGACCCAAGUUAGUUCAACAACAGUUAUGGAUAAAGAUCAAAAUUUGGCUUCAAUGGAUGGUUAAGCCAUUGCACAUUGUUUGGAAGAUUUCCAAAAAAUGAGGUUGCCACCAUAUAAGACCAAAUGAGCUAAUGUUGACGUGUAAUCAUCCUUGUUGUCUACCCAAUCAACGUCACUAAAAGCAAUAGAGAGGAGAAACACCCUUUGUGUAGGUGAAGACCAUGGAAUAUGGUGGCUUUGAGAUACUGCAAAAGACGUUUGAGAGUUGUUAAGUGUAUGGUGGUGGGCUUGUGCAUGAAUUGAGCAAGAUGAUUCACUGGUUAUGCAAUGUCAAGCCUGGUCAUUGAAAGAUAUUGGAGAGCACCCAUAAUACUUUGCAUUGAGAUGGGUCCACGGAUGCAGUGCCAUCAUGCAAAGUGAAAAAUGUGCUAGUGGAAAGUGGAGUUUGAACUUAUGUUGCAUCAACCAUCGUUGUCCAUUCUAGAAGGUCGCAGAUAUAUUUGUGCUGGCUGAGAAAUAAACCUGUCUUGGUAGGAAUGACCUUUAUGCCCAAAAAGUAAAGAAAAGAGCCUAUAUCUUUUAUUGAAAAUUGCUUGGCCAGAGAGAAAAUACAAUGAUUAAUGAUAGAUAAGGAAGAACCAGUAAUUAAAAUGUCAUCCACAUAUAAAAGUACAUAGAAGAAGGUGUUCCCUCGAUGGAAAAUAAAAAGAGAUGAGUCUGAUUUGGAGACGUGGAAGCCACAAAAGCACAAAAAAGAGCAUAGAGCAUUGAACUAGGCCUUGUAAGCUUGUUUGAACCCAUAAAUUGAUUCCUUUAGAUGACAAACAUGGUUAACAAAUUCUCGAAUGAUGAAGCUAGGUGGUUGAGCCAUGAAAACUUCUUCAGUUAUAUGGCCAUGAAAAAAAGCAUUAUUCACAUCCAAUUGUCUAAUGGACUAAUGAUUUUGAAGAGCAAUAAAGAGGACCAAGCUAACUAUGGUUAGUUUAAUUACUGGAUUGAAUGUUUGAGAGUAGUCAAUUCUGGACCAUUGAUGAAAUCCCUUAUCCAUCAAUUUUGCUUUAUACCGUGAUAUUGAGCCAUUUAGGUUUCUUUUGAUGCGAAAUGCCCAUUUGCAGCCAAAAACAUUUUGACUUGGCUUUUGAAACUAGAUCUGAAGUUCCUUGAGCAAGUAAAGCAUUGAAUUCAUUGCUUAUUGCCUCACACCAUUUAGAAGACUUCAUUGCCAUAAAGAUACAUGCUUGUUCAAUGGUCGAUGGAAGAGUGUGUUUGCUGGUGAAAAGAAAUUUCUUAUUGGGUUUAAAAAUGUUGUGCAUAGAAUGAGUUAUAGGCUGUGAAGGAGUGAAUGUUGGCGCACGAUCAUCUAGUGGUGAAACAGAUGGCAGGCUUGGUGCAUGAUCACAUGAUAUGUCAGCAGUUUAUUAAGAUGAAUUUUCAACAUCAGAUGAGAAAGAUGCGACUUGCAUGGGUUAGGAAUUAAGUGCUGGUGAAAGGAAGAAAAGUGGGAGAGUUGACCGCAAGUCUUGGGAUGUGGAAGAGUAUUGUUGGAUAAGAGGAUGUGGGUGAAGUGUUUGAUUUGGAAGAAAGUGCGUUUGGUCCAAAUUUUGUGGAGAGAUGGUUUGGUUAAGAUAGGUGUGGGCUCAUGUGAGAAAGAUGAGGAUAAAGAUGAAGUUUUAGAAUUUUGAGAGAAUGGAAACAUUAUUUCACAAAAAACAACGUGUCUUGAGAGAUCAAUUUUGUUAGUAACUAGGUCAAAGCAUUUGUAAGCAUGAUGCUGGGAAGAAUAGCCAAGAAAGGUACAGGGGGUGCUACGUGGGUUGAGUUUGUGACUUGAAUAUGGACGAAGCCAUGGAUAACAUAGACACCCAAAAACCUUUAGGAUUUGUAUGAUGGUUGCUUGUUAAAUACCUUGUGAAAAGGUGUGUCAUUCUGAAAGGUUAGUGUUGGCAUCCGAUUGAUGAGAUAAACAGCUAUUUCAAAGGCAUAGCACUAGAAUUUUGCAAGAAGAGAUGCAUGAUGAAAGAGUGCAAAGGCUGUUUUGACAAUGUGACGAUUCUUUCGUUUAGCAAGACCAAUGUGUUCAGUGGUGUAAGGUGGGGAAAUAUAGUGGUAAAUACCAUGGAGUUGAAAUAAGGAUUUGAGCUUGUUAUAUUCAGUUCCUCCAUCAUUAUAUACAGAACAUAUUUUAUGAUUAAAGAAAGAUUCUACUUGAGCUCGAACUUUUGGAAAAACGUCAACUACUUCACUUUUAAAUUUGAAUGGAAAGAAACAAAUAUAACGAGUAAAGUGAUCAACAAAAAGGAAAUAAUAACGGUAGCCAUUUAUUGAAGUAAUUGGUGAAGGUCCUUAAACAUCCAAAUAAAGAAGUACUAAUGGUGAAUUAGAUGUUACAAAGGAUUCAUGAAAAGGUAAUUUAUGACUUUUCUUUAUUUGACAAGAAGAACAAUAAAGUGGAGUCUUAGGUUUAUAUGUGGAGUUAGCUUCUUGGAGAAUUUGUUGUAGAAUUUUCAUUGAUGGAUGACCAAGACGAGCAUGCCAGAGAAGUGGAGAGGAUCGAGCGGCAGAGAGUGUUGUUGUGCUGGUAGGUGAAAAAAAUUUUAUUGUAAGCUGAAGGGUGUAGAGAUCACCACUACUUUAACCUUGCAACAAUUUCACCCCCAUCAUAAGUUCCUUCACACAAAAGGAAAAUGGAAGAAAUUCAACACAAACAUUAUUGGCUUGGUAGAAUUUAGAAAUAGAGAUAAGAUUAUUGUUACGCCCCACUCAUAAAAAAAGAAGAAGAAAAAGAAAAAGAAGUAAGUGGGGGCCAACAAGAGAAGAGAAAAGAAAGAAGAAGAAAAAGGGGGGCUGACCAAAAAGAGAAAGAAGAAAGGAGAGAAAAGAAGAAAAAUCAAGCUUCCAAAAAGAGAGAAAAGACAAAAAAGAAAGAGAAGAAGAAAGAAAAGGAGAAAGAGAAGGAAGAGAGUGGGGGGCCCAAGGGAGAGAAAAAAGAGAGGAAAAAAAAAGAAAAAUGAGAGAAGGGGAGCAACAUCUCGGGGAGAAGAAAAAGAAAGAGAAAAAGAAAGAGAAAGAGAGAAAGAGCAUGAUGACGAGGAGAAGAAAGAGAGGGAAGAAAGAAGAAAAAAAAAAGAGAAGAAAAAAAGGAGAGGAAACAAGGCGACGAAAAGAAGAAAGAGAGGGAAAAAAGAAGAGAAAGAAAAAACAGAAAAAAGAGAGAAGAAGCAGCGGUAGAGGAAAAAAAAUAAAGAAAGAGUAGCGACAAAAGAGAAGAAGGAGAGAAGGAGCAACGACAGAGGAAAAGAAAGAAACAAAAAAAGAAAGAAAUAGGGGAAUAGCGAUGGUGCUAGAAGAAAAAAAGAAAGAACAGAAAGGAAGAAGGAAGAAGAGAAAGAAAAGCACUGGUUGGAAGGAAGACUGACAGCAAGGGGAGAAAAAAAAUGAGAAUUAAGAGAAAAUAGCUAAAUACACGCACGAUACAAUAGCGAAGUAGCGUCCUGCUAUUGUGAGGUGAGUGGGUGCUAAAUUUCAAAACUAUGUCCUUAUAAUAUAAUAUAUAUAUAUAUAUAUAUAUAUAUAUNNNNNNNNNNNNNNNNNNNNNNNNNNNNNNNNNNNNNNNNNNNNNNNNNNNNNNNNNNNNNNNNNNNNNNNNNNNNNNNNNNNNNNNNNNNNNNNNNNNNNNNNNNNNNNNNNNNNNNNNNNNNNNNNNNNNNNNNNNNNNNNNNNNNNNNNNNNNNNNNNNNNNNNNNNNNNNNNNNNNNNNNNNNNNNNNNNNNNNNNNNNNNNNNNNNNNNNNNNNNNNNNAAGUUGAUGAUAAAUUAUUUAUUUCAUUUAGCAUGCCGAUUUGGUAAAUAUGCCAUGCUUUGAAAUAAAUUAUGCACAACAUUCAUUUUAUGAUUAUACGGCUUUUAAUCUGUCAUGUUAUGCAAAUGUAUUAAAUUGCAAUGAUUUUAUUUUAACGUGAUUGAGAUACUUUGGGUAGGACCUGUUACCACACCAGGUCAAGUGUGGUCUUUGUGCACAAAGUAAGAAUUGUUGAUUAUCGAUAUUUAAUUGUAAAAAGAAAGACCUGAAGCCUCGAUUUAUAUUUAGUGACGUGGAUAGUUCCCACGCGUAGGCAAAGGGGGACUUGAAGCCCCGAUUUAUAUUUGGUGACGUGGGUAGUUUCCACAAGUAGGUAAAAGGGGACUUGAAGUCUCGAUUUAUAUUUGGUGACGUGAGUAAUUCCCACAAGUAGGCAAAGGGGGACCUGAAGCCCCGAUUCAUAUGGUGGCGUGGGCAAUUCCCACUAGUAGGUGAUGAUGUCUGAGAUAGCAAGCCUAAGGGCUUUACUAAACCUACCCAAGGACGAUGCUUACUUGUAGAUUUUUACUUCACUAUGCAUGGCAUUAAUACUUGAAAAUUUUUAUUUAAUGGCAAGUGAAAUGUAUUUAUUCAUUGGUGAUCAAUUAAUUCACCUUUUUAUAUUUGAGAAUUUUCAUUUUUCACUUGUCAUUGAAUUUAAUGAUGAUUGGAUGUCGAGGUUGAAAGAUUUUCUAAUACCUUAACUACAACUGUUUUCACAUAUGUUUAUUUGUGAAUUAUUAUUCUUAAGAACUACAAGGUAUAAAAAUAAAAUCUCAGUUUUAUGGAAUAUAUUUUCUAUGCUUACUCCUGAGUUUAUAAACAUUCCACCUUUAUGUUUGUUUCCCCUCUUCGCUUGCUCACGGGGUCGAUGAUGAUCACUGAGUCUAUGAGACUCACAUCCCUCUUAUUUUCCCUUUUUGCAGAUAGAGAUCAGUCUAAUGUGUAACCAUCGAUGCAUACGAACCACCGCAGAGUAGGUAAAGGCAUCUACUAACCCCGCUCCGAGUCAUUCCGUUAUUUAGGGUUGUGUCAGAACGAAAUUUAUGAGAAGUUGAAAAAUGUUGUUAACUUGUAAACAUGAAUUGUUAUUAUUUUGAAUGAAGUAGAUAGUAAUUUAAUUAUUAAUAUUUGCUUACACAUGUGAUUUGAUUAUAUGUAUUUAAUGAAUCUAGCGGAAGUCUUAAAUGAGACUUGUUCGGGACUUAGCGAAAAUUUUUUAGAAGUCUCGGACGCUGGUAGCGACCAAGGAGGGGUUGUUACAAUAUUGGUAUAAGAACCCUAAGUUUAGAAAAAUCCUAAAAUUUCUUGUAUUGUUAGCGAAGUGUUACGAGUAGUGUAGAGUCUUAUUCAUGGUUCAUGACUGCAGCAUGGAUUAUGGAUAGGAGGCUACACAAAUUCUCUAAUCUUAGUAAGCCACCUUUAUUAAUAAUUUUUAAUAGUUAUUUGAAGGGUGUUUGUUACUGUCUAGGCAUCGAGAUGCCACCUAGGACUCGAGUCGCCUCAAGAGGAAUUAGAGGGUUUAAUGCCCCAGAUGACGGUACGAAGGGACCACGUGCAUCUUUUUCUAGGAGUAGUGGGAGAGGUGGACCUAGAGGUCAAAUUGUCGGGCCUCAAAGCAGUCAAAGUUCUAGUGAGAGGAGAGUUGGUACCAGUUCUGGGGAUACGGGAGGUGAUUUUCCUUAGGUACCCACUACCACCUUGGAAGAGAUAGCUGCUGGAUUACGAGGGUUAACCUAGGAGGUUGUAGAGUUUAAGAGACAAGGAGUGUAUCAACCAAAUGAAACAAUGGGUUCUAGUUUUGAAGAUUUGGAUUAUCAACCUUAUGAGGAAAUGGAUUGGGAAAAUGUCAUGGUGACUCUAGGUGAAUUUAUGAAAUUGAAACCCCCUUUUUUUUCGGCUGCUAAAUCAACAGAGUAUCCACAAGUAUUUUUAGAUGAGAUGGACAAAAUUUGUACUGCAUUGGAUUCUUUUAGUCGUCGGGAAGUUGAGUUGAUAGGCUUUAGAUUGACGGAAGUAGCACAAAUAUGGUUCGCUACACUCAAGAAUUGUAGACCACCUGGUUCUGCUCCACUUACUUGGGAAGAAUUCACACAAGCUUUCAUGGAUAGAUUUCUACCUGAAAGUGUGAGAGACGCUAAAGCAUAGGAGUUUGAAACUUUAAUACAAGCGCUUGGGAUGACAGUGUCAGAUUAUGACAUCCAAUUUACUCAAUUGUCAAGAUAUGCCCCGUAUCUGGUUCAGAUUGAAAAGGAGAAGAUCAAAAGGUUCAUUAAGGGGUUACAUAGGUCAAUAUACAAAAUUCUAGUCUCUCCGAGAUUUACAUCUUAUCCCAAAGUAGUUGAUACCGCUAGAAAAAUCAAAGCAGGACGUACAGAGGUUAGGGUGGAAAGAGAGAUGAGUAAAAAAAAUUGAGGUGAAGGAUCUUCCAGAUAUAGAGACCCUAGUAGGGGUAAAGAUUCUAAUGUAGUGGGACAACCAGGUCGAAGGGAUGGUAACUUACUCAGAGGGUCAGCAUUUUCUAGUCCACCAAAUCAAAGAAGAAAUUUUCAGCUUUGUAGUCCCCCACGUAGCAGUGAUUUUAGUGGGAUUAAUUACGUACGGGCUAUGAAUAGUGGGAUGACUAAUUCAAAUCCAAGACAAAGUGGUCAGUGGGUUCUUUUAUGUACUUUUUGUGGUUAGAUUCAUACAGAGCCAUGUAACCAGAUGACGACGUUUUGUUAUGAGUGUGGGAGAAUUGGUCAUGUGAAGAAGGAUUGUCCUACCUAUAGACAUAACCAAAAGAUGGCUCCUGGCUCAAUACGACCUGAUUUUGCUAUCGCACCAACUAGAAAUGUCAGAAGGGAUGAAGGAAAAGGGGUAGCUUUCUCGUCACAAGGUGGAUCGGUAGGGCCAACUUAAUUAGGUGUUUCUAGGGGGGGACAAGCUAGAGUAUUCGCUCUGACACCACAAAAUGUUUAUGUCUCAAAUGCAGUAGUAACAGGGAAUCUUUUCAUUUAUGGUUACGAAGCAUCAGUUUUAUUUGACCUAAGAUCCACACAUUCUUUUGUGUCUUCAAAUUUCAUGCCUAAAUUAGGCAAGCACUAUGAAUAUAUGGAUGAACCGUUAGUAGUAACCACCCCGUUGGAAGAAUCAUAUGUUGCGGAGUAUGUGUUUCAUUCUUGUGUGGUCCAAAUUAAAGAUAGGGACACUUGGGUGGAUUUAGUGUUAAUGACAAUAUUGGGAUUCGAUGUGAUACUGGGAAUGGAUUGGCUAGCGUCUUGCUACGCUAAUGUAGAUUGUUAUCGCAAGUUGGUGAAGUUUAAAUUUCCUGGAGAGCCGUCAUUUGUUAUUUAUGGUCACAGCAGCCAUUUGGUUGAUAGUGUGAUGGCUACAAUUACUAGAGAAGUACAGAGUGAAGAAGCAAAUUUAGAAGCUACACCUAUAGUAAAUGAAUUUGUAGAUGUGUUUCCAAAAGAAUUGCCCGGAUUACCUCUCCAAAGGGAAAUCGAAUUUUUUAUCAAUUUGAUUCUAAAAAUACAACCAAUAUCAAUGCCUCUGUACAGAAUGGCGCCGACAGAGUUAAAGGAGUUAAGGGAACAACUGCAAGAUUUAAUUAAUAAGAGCUUUAUUCGCCCGAGUGUGUCACCUUGGGGAGCACCAGUGCUGUUCGUAAAGAAGAAAUAUGGUAGUCUCAGGCUAUGUAUAGAUUACCGGCAGCUUAAUAAAGUCACGAUCAAAAAUAAAUAUCCACUUCCCAUAAUUGAUGAGUUGUUUGAUCAGCUAUAAGGGGCUCAAUGCUUUUCGAAGAUUGAUUUAAGGUCUAGAUAUCAUUAAUUAAGGAUCAAGGAAGAGGACAUACCCAAAACCGCAUUCCGUACGAGGUAUGGACAUCAUGAAUUUUUUGUGAUGUCUUUUGGAUUGACGAAUGCCCCUACUGCUUUCAUGGACUUGAUGAACAGGGUGUUUCGAGCAUACCUAGAUAGAUUUGUGGUCGUCUUUAUUAAUGAUUGUCAAGCCCAGCUCUACAAUAUGUUUAUUAUGCCAUUCUUACAUAAGAAUACAUGUUUGUUUACUUGAGUACCUCAGAAAUCAUUAAAAGACGGUAAUGUACCAAAUGGUACAAUUAAGUUGAAUUAAGCCUCGAACUAGUCCACAUAGAGAUUUUAAGAUGAAAUUGAGAAUUUUAAAACCCCAAAAUGACUUAAAAUGGUGAUUCGGAGUUCGAAGACCGAUUUGGAAUCAAAUUAGAAUUUUCAUGACCCAAGGGCAAAAUGGUCACUUUGCCACCCGAGGUUAAGAUGUAAGUGUUGGAUGAAAUUUUUGACUAAGAUUGAUCAUUUGGAGUAUAAUUUGAGUUUGAGAAGUGAAGAAUUUUAAUUUCGGCGUUUUUUCGAGGAUAAGGGCAAAAUAAUCAUUUUGCCACCCUAUGGGCAAAAUUAUAAUUUUACACCACCCAACACUUGUCAUACCCAUGGAUUUCAGCCAUUAGCAUUUUAUAUCAUGGAUAAUUGAAAGAUUUUAUGUGGUGGUGGAAGAAAGCUUAAUUAUUAAGUUUUUAAACAUGGUGACAAGUGUCAAGCUUGGAUAUUUUAUUAUUUGGCUUUAAAAAAGAUCNAAGGAAGAAAAGGGAAGAAAAGAAGAAGAACAAAAACCUAGCUAAGAAAUUCAAGAGAAAUUCACAAAAUUUCAAAGAAUCAAGUGACAAAAGGUAAGAUUUUUCAAUUCUAGCUUGUGAUCUACCUUUCCUAUGCGUUCUUUUUCAUUUUCCAUGUUGAGAAUCAAGUUUGCAUGAGGAUACCCUUGUUGGCCGGACAUGGGGGGAUGAGUUUUGAACUUGGAUUUGGUUAGAUUUCAAUAUAUUCUAGUGUUUUUAGUUAGUUAGUGAUGUGUAGCAUGAAAAAUAAACAAGAAAAAUUCAUUUUCUUCCAUCACCCUCCAUUGGCCGAAUCUUCCCUAUGGUGUGUUGAUGGUGGACUUUAUUUUAUUUCAAGUGAUUUGAUUAGGAAUGAAUGAUUUAUGGUGUGAGAAUCAAGCAUAAAAAAAUUAUAUUGUUAGUACACUCACCAUGGCCGAAUUUUUCAAGAAAAAAUGUGAGGAUGAUUUUGCCACAUUUCAAGUUAUUUAAAUUGUGUUUAAUGAUUUGGAGUAUUGGGAGAGAAUGGAAUUGUUUGGAGUUGAAUUGGACGUAUUAGCCAAUUAAUCGGGUGAUAGAUCGAAUUAGGCCAAUACCAUUUUAUGUAGGUACAUAAUUGAAUUUAUAUUGAACACAGUAUUUAGAUAGUUACCCAAAUAUUUCACAUCCCAUUUCAUGCAUUAGUAUAGAGCCUGAAUUGGUUUUAUAACAAUUUAGCACAAAUGUAGCAAAUGGCUUAUUGUGCAUUAUGUCUAGGUGGUGAGCAUUCUGGCAAAAGUAAAAAGAUAGCACCCAAGGAUUAAGAAUCGGAGUACUCAAAACUCGAUUCCCAUUACAGUGAGUAACCUUAUUAUUGUCUUGAUUAUCUAAAGUAUGUUUUUAUCCGAUUUUGUAACUUUAUGAAAAAUGUGUUUAAAUGAAAUGAUUUUAUAAAUUGUCUUGAAAUUGAAUGAUGACUUGAAAAUGGAGUAAUUGGAGACUACUUACUAUAUUGUAACUUAUGUUUUGAAUUGAAUGGCUUAUGAUAAUGCAGGCAUGAAUGGCUGGAUGGGUAUUUGUGUUGAAAAUGUAUAAACUGUUGUUUGCCUUGAUAGGUUGGAUAAUGACAAAAUUGCCAUGUCAUGCUGUUGAAUUUUUAUUAAAUUGGUGGGUUAUAGAUUGGUCACUACAGUGGAGUGGACCAGCAUUUUUGAGGGGUACGAAAUUCGAGGAUAUUCUUACCUCGGUUGAGGAGGCGCGUAAGGUAACUCCUGAGAUAAAACUUUAGAAUUCACUUCACCCUAAACCACCACAUGAGGGUGAACUCAGCCAACACUAAGGAAUGGUUAUGUUUUCAAAAUAAAAACAUGAUUUAUGCGUACAUGACUUUUUAACAGCCUUGGCAGAUUAUCAUAAAAAGGAAGCCAUAAGUCACCAAGGAACGACUAUGUCUUCAAAAUAAAAACAUGAUUUAUGCGUACAUGACUUUUUAACAGCCUUGGCAAAUUCGGUUGGGAUAGCCCUAGGCCAAGGUAUCCCUGACAAUCGAGUAUGAGAAUGAUUUUGGCACGAGCCAAGCUUUUUAGGAAAUCAUAAGCCUCAUUGUUUAUUUGGAUUAAAUGAAUCUAUUUUAUCUUAUAAAAAUGAGUUCGAAAUGCUGUGAAUCAUUUUUAUGCUAAUCUAUUUUAUCUGUCUCCAUUUACUUAGCUUUAGAUAUUUUAGAUGAUAUUUGUUUACUUACUAAGAUUAUAUAAUCUCAUCACCCUCCUUUCCACCCAUUUCAGGCUUAGGAUAGUUUGUAGAUAGCUGAUAUCGUCGAAGGCUACAGUUGGCUUUACUUCCUCAAAAAAAAAUCGUAGGUUCACAGCCUACGUUCACUUUUGUCAUUUGGGGGCCCACGUGUCAUUGUAAAUUAAAUUACAUACCUUGACUAUUUGUACUACAGUAUGUAUGAAUUUAUUUCGCUUUUACACUACAAAAAUUUCUUACAAAUAACUCUAUAAAAAUUAUUUUAUAAGAAAAUGAAAUAUUUUAUUGAAUAUUUUUAUUAUAUUCAAAUAGUCAUAAUUUCACCUUAAAUGAAUGUUUUAGACAACUAAACUUCUUUUUGAUUAUGAAAUAUGUGUUUUGCACUCACAUACUAUAUUAUUAGCUGGUUUCGAAAUUUUUGAGAAAAAAUGACCAAAAUACCCCCGAGAGACGAAAAUUAUUUUUUUAUUAUUUUAGUUUGAAAAUAGCUUAUAAACUUUUAAAAUAUGAUAUUAGCAACUGUUGCUCGUAGAGGAGGUGAGAAAACUGAUAUUAAAGCCUUGCGAGAUUUUGGUUGGCAUUCCGGGUAAUGAAUGUUUAUCGGGACAUUGCGACUGUUGCCACGGGCUCGAGAAGAGUACCGAGCCGUGACAAUGACAUUUUAAUAUACUCGAAAAGUUGGGAAGAGCACACACAACAUUUAAGGAUCGUGCUACAGACCCUACAAGAGCAUAGACUAUACGCGAAAUUUCCUAAGUGUGCGUUUUGGUUGAGUAAUGUUGGUUUUCUGGGACAUAUUGUAUCCAAGGAUGGAGUACAAAUAGAUCCCAGUAAAGUUGAGGCAAUUGAGAAUUGGGCUAGACCCACGACAGUUACAAAAAUCAGGAGUUUUCUAAGAUUGGCUAGGUAUUAUCGACGAUUUGUGAAAGAUUUCUCUAAGAUAGCCUCUUCGUUAACCAGGUUAACUCAAAAGGGAGUAAAAUUUGAAUGGUCAGAGGCUUGUGAACACAGUUUCCAAACAUUAAAAGCUUGUUUGACUUCUGCACCUGUAUUAAGUCUGUCAUGUGGGUUCGAGGGCUACACUAUUUAUUGUGAUGCUUCGAGGGUUGGAUUAGGAUGUGUAUUGAUGCAACAUGGUAAAGUCAUCGCUUAUGCCUCCAAACAAAUUAAGAGGCAUGAAGAAAAUUAUCCUAUACGAUCUGGAGAUGGCAGCGAUCGUGUUUACCUUAAAAAUAUGAAUGCAUUAUUUGUAUGGGGAAACAUGUGAAAUAUAUACAAAUCACAAAAGUUUGAAGUAUAUAUUUCAACAGCGAGAUCUAAAUUUAAGGCAACGCAAAUGGAUGGAAUUGUUGAAAGACUAUGAUUGUACGAUACUCUAUCAUCUCGGCAAGGCGAAUGUCGUAGCUGAUGCAUUGAGUCGAAAGUUAAUGAGCAGUAUGGCACACAUUGCAAUGGCGAGAAGAUCAAUGGUGCAAGAAUUACAAGAUUGGGUAAUAUGGGAGUUAAAUUUGAGGUCAGUGGGUCAGAUGCACUAUUGGCACAUUUUAGGGUCUGACCAAUACUAAUAGAUCGAAUUCGAGAUGCUUAAGCUAGAGACACAUUUGUAAUGACGAUUUUGGGGAGUGUAGGUGAGCCAGUUUUUGAGUUUGAUUUUGGGUCUGAUGGAUUGUUGAGACACGGAUCUCGAAUCUAUGUUCCAAACUUGGAUGGAUUAAGAGAAGAAAUUUUAGAGGAAGCACAUGUUGCUGCUUAUACAAUACAUCUAGGAGCCACCAAGAUGUAUCACGAUUUAAGAUCCGUAUAUUGGUGGCAAGGAUUGAAGAAGGAUAUAAGGGAAUAUGUUUCGAGAUAUUUGGUGUGCUAACAAGUGAAGGUAGAGCACCAAAGACGAUCAGGAUUAUUACAACCGUUACCGAUACCUGAAUGGAAAUGGCAACAUAUCGCCAUGGACUUCGUAAUAGGCUUACCUCGAGUCAAAGGAGGAUAUGAUUUCAUAUAGGUAAUUAUAGAUCGAUUGACUAAGUCAGCACAUUUUCUCCUGGUCAAGACAAAGUUUGGGCCGGCACAAUACGCUCGAAUUUAUAUUAAUGAAAUUGUUAGACUCCAUGGCGUACCGGUGACCAUUGUGUCCGACAAGGGACCACAGUUUACUAGUCGAUUUUGGAGGAGGUUGCAAGAUGAAUUAGGAACUCGACUGAACUUUAGUACAACAUACCACCCUCAGACAGACGGUCAGUCAGAAUGCAAGAUCCAAAUAUUGGAAGAUAUGUUGAGAGCAAUUGUGUUAGAUUUUGGAGUUCCUUGGGACUUAUACUUGCCUUUAGCAGAAUUUGCAUACAAUAAUAGUUACCAGGCGAGUAUCAAGAUGGUGCUAUUUUAGGCACUGUAUGGGCGAAAUUGUAGGUCACCUAUUGGGUGGUUGAAAGUUGGAGAAAGGAAAUUAUUAAGGACGGAAAUGGUACAAGGAGCUAUGGAAGCAGUACAAAUAAUUCGAGAACGAAUGUUGGUCGCUCAAAGUAGACAAAAGUCGUAUGCCGACAACAGACGCAGGCCCCUAGAGUUCAAAGUAGGUGAUCAUGUGUUUCUAAAAGUGUCACCAUGUAAAAGAGUAUGAAGAUUUGGCAAGAAAGGCAAACUCAGUCCUCGAUAUAUUGGCCCGUUUGAAAUACUGGAUCGCUUAGGAGCUGUUGCUUAUCGAUUAGCAUUACCAUCGGAUUUGGAAGGGGUUAAUCCAGUGUUUCAUGUAUCCAUGCUCAGAAAAUAUGUUCAAGACCCUUCACAUAUGAUACAACAUGAUACGAUACUAUUGGAAGAUGGGUUGAAGUACCAAUAGCAGCCUAUAGCUAUAGUGGACUAUCAAGUAAAAAGGCUUCGCUCUAAGGACAUCGCCUUAGUGAAAGUAAUAUGGCAAAACCACUUGAUAGAGGAGGGGACUUAGGAACCAAAAGAGGAAAUGCAAGCAGAAUAUCCAUAUUUGUUUCAGAGUUAAAUGUAUUGUUAAGUGUCUCUAUGUUGAUAUAAUUCGAUGAUGAAUUUGUUUUAAGUAGGGUUGCUUGUGACACCCCACUCAUAAAAGAAAAAAGAAGAAGAAGAAGAAGUAAGUGGGGGCCGGUAAGAGAAGAGAAAAGAAAGAAGAAAAAAAGGGGCCGGCCAAAAAGAGAAGGAAAAAAUGAGAAAAAAGAAGAAAAGUCAAGCUGCCAAAAAAGGAGAAAAGACAAGAAAGAAAGAAAAGAAGAAAGAGAAAAGGAAAGAGAAGGAAAAUAGUGGGGAGCCUGAAAGGAAAAAAAAAGAAAGGAAAAAAAAAAGAAAAAAGAAAAAGGGGGAGCAGCAUCUCGGGGAGAAGAAAAAAAAAAAGAGAAAAAGAGCACGGCAACAAGGAGAAUAAGGAGAGGGAAGAAAAAAGAGAAAGGAAGCACGACGACAAAAAGAAGAAGGAGAGGGAAAAAAGAAGAGAAAGAAAAAAAAGAAGAAUGAGAUAAAAAGCAGUGGUAGAGGAGAAGAAUGAGAAAAAGAGCAGCGACAGAGGAGAAGAAAGAGAGAGGGAGCAACGACGGUGCCAGAGGAGAAAGAGGAAGAAGAGAAAGGAAGAAGGAAUAAGAGAAAGAGAAGUGCCGACUAGAAAGAAAAUCGACAGCAAGGGGAGAAAAAAAAUGAGAAGGAAGAGAAAAUAGCUAAAUACACGCACGAAACAAUAGCAAAGUAGCGUCCCGCUAUUGUGAGGUGAACGGGUGCUAAAUUUCAAAACUUUGUCCUUAUAAUAUAAUAUAUAUAUAUAUAUGUCAUAUUUGAUAGUUGACAAAAUUGUGGACAACAUGAGUUGGUAGAAAGCUUUAGGUUGUUUGUGUUUGUGACAAGGAUUUUAAAUUUGUUUUUUUUUAAAUAUAUGUAUAUAUAUAUAUAUAUAUAUAUAUAUAUCUACAUGUUUUUAAAUAUAGGGAAACAAACCUUUGACUGGCUUUCACUUUAAAAUCAUACCUUGCAAGUUUGUGUGAUGUUUAGGCCAAUGGCCUUUGUUUUAAUUCAUAGAAGUUGAUGAUAAAUUAUUUAUUUCAUUUAGCAUGCCGAUUUGGUAAAUAUGCCAUGCUUUGAAAUAAAUUAUGCACAACAUUCAUUUUAUGAUUAUACGACUUUUAAUCUAUCAUGUUAUGCAAAUGUAUUAAAUUGCAAUGAUUUUAUUUUAACGCGAUUGAGAUAUUCUGGGUAGGACUUGUUACCACACCAAGUCAAGUGUGGUCUUUGUGCACAAAGUAAGAAUUGUUGAUUAUCGAUAUUUGAUUGUAAAAAAGAAGACCUAAAGCCCCGAUUUAUAUUUGGUGAUGUGGAUAAUUUCCACAAGUAGGCAAAAGGGGACCAAAAGUCCCGAUUUAUAUUUGGUGACGUUGGUAGUUCCCACAAGUAAGUAAAGGGGGACCUGAAGCUCCAAUUUAUAUUUGGUAACGUGAGUAAUUCCCACGAGUAGGUCAAGGGGGACCUGAAGCCCCGAUUCAUAUGGUGGCAUGGGUAGUUCCCACGAGUAGGUGAUGAUGUCUAAGAUAGUAAGCCUAAGGGUUAUACUAAACCUACCCGAGGACGAUGUUUACUUGUAGAUUUUUACUUCACUAUGCAUGGUAUUGAUACUUGAAAAUUUUUAUUUAAUGGCAAGUGAAAUGUACCUAUUCAUUGGUGAUCAAUUAAUUCACCUUUUUAUAUUUGAGAAUUUUCAUUUUUCACUUGUCAUUGAAUUUAAUGAUGACUGGAUGUCGAGGUUGAAAGAUUUUCUAAUACCCCAAAUACAACUGUUUUCACAUAUGUUUAUUUGUGAAUUAUUAUUCUUAAGAACUGCAUGGUAUAAAAACAAAAUCUCAAUUUUGUGGAAUGUAUUUUCUACGCUUACUCCUGAGUUUAUAAACAUUCCACCUUUAUGUUUGUUUCCCCUCUUUGCCUGCUCACGGGGUCGAUGAUGAUCACUGAGUCUAUGAGAGUCACACCCCUCUUAUUUUCCCUUUUUACAGAUAGAGAUCAGUCUAACGUGUAACCAUCGGUGCAUACGAAUCACCGCAGAGUAGGUAAAGGCAUCUCCUAACUCCGCUCCUAGUCACUCCUCUGUUUAGGGUUGUGUCAGAACGAAAUUUGCGAGAUAUUGAAAAAUGUUGUUAACUUAUAAACGUGAAUUGUUAUUAUUUUGAAUGAAGUAGAUAGUAAUUUAAUUAUUAAUAUUUGCUUACACAUAUGAUUUAAUUAUAUGUAUUUAAUGAAUCUAGCGGAAGUCUUAAAUGAGGCUUGUUCGAGACUUAGCAAAAAUUCUUUAGAAGUCUCGGACGCCGGUAGCGACCAAGGAGGAGUCGUUACAAUUAUGAUGUGUUUUUGGAACAUAAAGAACAUCACGCAAAAGAAAAGAAGAAGUAAGGGUGGGAAGUUGGAUAAAACCAACAUGAGUUAUGGGCAAACUUGAACCAUCACCUAUUUUUAUUUCAUUGGGUCCAUCAUAAUGAGAAUGCAAACUUAGAUUAUUGAGAUCACUAGUGACAUGAUGACUUGCCCAUGUGUCAAGUGCCCAAUUUGUGGGUGGUGGAGUGGUAGAUGCUACAAAGUUAGCAGAAAGCCUAAUAGAACAUUGCAUCCGUUAGGGGCAGAAUUUGGCUAUGUGCCCUUGGAGAUCACAAAAUUGACAUUUAAGAGGUGGCCUAUUGUUGCAACCUUAUGGACCGUAAUUGCGUCUGCGCUGCUGAUUACCAUGGCUAUUGAUAGUGUCAUGCACAGGUGAGUGUGAAAUAAUGGUAUUUGAGGUGUUAUGAUAAGCCCCACUAUUGCCACGUUGAGUUGACAGAUUGGAUCGAAAGUGCUUGUUAAAAGAUCUGUUUUUUUAAUGCAAGUUGGCAGUAGGAAUAAAAACUUCAGUAAGAGCAUCAUCACAUUUCAAGUACUCCUCAUGAACAACUAAAUGGCUAUAAAGCUCUUCAAAAGAGAAUAGACGAUCUUUGGUUUGGAUGAAGGCAGCAAUAUCCUUGUAUUCUACAUCUAAACCAUUAAGCACAUAAGGAAUAAUGUCAUUAUCUAAAAUUACAUUAUCAGUAAUAGCUAGUUCAUCAACUAUUCUUUUGACAAAGAAUAAAUAUUCUGUGAUUGACAAAGAGCCUUUGCGACUUCGUUGGAGCUUAUUCUUGAGGAACAUAACAUGAGAACGCUAUGGAUUUACGUAUUUGGUUUUAAGAGCCAUCCACAGUUGGUGAAAGGUCUCACAUGCGAAAAGAGCGAUGCUGUCUCUUUCGAUCGUAAAGGAUAAGAGCGGGCUCACAAUGAGUUGGUCUUGACAAAACUAAGAAUCAAAAUUUGGAUUGGGUGUGGUAGACCCAUCUGAUUGAGUAGCUAGUUUUGAUGGUUGGGAAAUAGUUCCAUCCACGUAGCCAAUUAACUUCAUUCCGGUAAGGAGAGAUAUAGCCUAAUGUCUCCAUGCAUGAAAAUUGUUGGCUGAGAGCUUUAAAGCAAUUUGUGCUCCAAAACUGAAAAAGGUUAUGGGUUUUGGUUGGGACUCAACAGUGAGUUGAGUUACUGUUGCAGAAGAGGGAGUGGUGUUGGAUGUUGUAAAAUUGGCCAUGGAUCUUAAUCUCAUUAGAGAGAAAGCGCUCAUGAUACCAUAUAAAAUAUUUGAAAUGAAAAAUUUAUUAUCAAACAAGAUAGAAUACAAGUUAAUAGAUAAAGAAGCUAUACAAGAAAACACUAUAUUUGAAUUUAAAAUAACCUUAAACAACUUCUAUGAUUGAGGAGCUAAAGUAUGACUCGAAUGAUUUGAAUUAUCCUUUGUUUGUGGAGUCAUCUCCUUGACAAGUACUCAUCAUCUCCCUUCACAUCGUGCUCUACCUAUUCAAUGUCUUCUCGGUUAAAUCAUUGAUCACCGAUUUGAUAACCAAGCAAAGC
rnacentral:lncRNA from 1 species